rnacentral:rRNA from 1 species
GUGGGGAAUCUUAGACAAUGGGGGAAACCCUGAUCUAGCCAUGCCGCGUGAGCGAUGAAGGCCUUAGGGUUGUAAAGCUCUUUCAGCUGGGAAGAUAAUGACGGUACCAGCAGAAGAAGCCCCGGCUAACUCCGUGCCAGCAGCCGCGGUAAUACGGAGGGGGCUAGCGUUGUUCGGAAUUACUGGGCGUAAAGCGCGCGUAGGCGGACCAGAAAGUUGGAGGUGAAAUCCCAGGGCUCAACCUUGGAACUGCCUUCAAAACUCCUGGUCUGGAGUUCGAGGGAGGAGAGUGGAAUUCCGAGUGUAGAGGUGAAAUUCGUAGAUAUUCGGAGGAACACCAGUGGCGAAGGCGGCUCACUGGCUCGAUACUGACGCUGAGGUGCGAAAGCGUGGGGAGCAAACAGGAUUAGAUACUCUGGUAGUCC